UACGAAGGGGGCUAGCGUUGCUCGGAAUUACUGGGCGUAAAGGGCGCGUAGGCGGACAGUUUAGUCAGAGGUGAAAGCCCAGGGCUCAACCCUGGAAUUGCCUUUGAUACUGGCUGUCUUGAGUACGGGAGAGGUGUGUGGAACUCCGAGUGUAGAGGUGAAAUUCGUAGAUAUUCGGAAGAACACCAGUGGCGAAGGCGACACACUGGCCCGUUACUGACGCUGAGGCGCGAAAGCGUGGGGAGCAGACAGG
rnacentral:rRNA from 1 species